rnacentral:rRNA from 1 species
CCCUUAGAUGUCCUGGGCCGCACGCGCGCUACACUGACGAAGGCAACGAGCUUUCCUUUACCGAAAGGUACGGGUAAUCUUUUGAAACUUCGUCGUGCUGGGGAUAGAUCCUUGCAAUUAUUGAUCUUAAACGAGGAAUUCCUAGUAAGCGCAAGUCAUCAACUUGCGUUGAUUACGUCCCUGCCCUUUGUACACACCGCCCGUCGCUACUACCGAUUGAAUGGUUUAGUGAGGCCUUCGGAUCCGCGACUCGUUUUGUGGAGAAGUUGGACAAACUCAGUCAUUUAGAGGAAGUAAAAGUCGUAACA